UGGGGAAUAUUGCACAAUGGGGGAAACCCUGAUGCAGCGACGCCGCGUGAGCGAUGAAGGCUUUCGAGUCGUAAAGCUCUGUCCUAUGGGAAGAUAAUGACGGUACCAUAGAAGAAAGCCCCGGCUAAUUACGUGCCAGCAGCCGCGGUAAUACGUAAGGGGCGAGCGUUGUCCGGAAUUAUUGGGCGUAAAGAGUGCGUAGGCGGCAAAUUAAGUCAGAUGUGAAAACUAAGGGCUCAACCCAUAGAUUGCAUCUGAAACUGAUAUGCUUGAGUCAAGGAGAGGAAAGAGGAAUUCCUAGUGUAGCGAGGGAAUGCGUAGAUAUUAGGAGUAAUACCGGUGGCGAAGGCGACUUUCUGGACUUGAACUGACGCUGAGGCACGAAAGCGUAGGGAGCAAACAGG
rnacentral:rRNA from 1 species